UAUUGGACAAUGGGGGAAAGCCUGAUCCAGCAAUGCCGCGUGAGUGAUGAAGGCCUUAGGGUUGUAAAGCUCUUUUACCCGGGAUGAUAAUGACAGUACCGGGAGAAUAAGCUCCGGCUAACUCCGUGCCAGCAGCCGCGGUAAUACGGAGGGGGCUAGCGUUGUUCGGAAUUACUGGGCGUAAAGCGCACGUAGGCGGCUUUGUAAGUUAGAGGUGAAAGCCUGGAGCUCAACUCCAGAAUUGCCUUUGAUACUGCAUCGCUUGAAUCCAGGAGAGGUGAGUGGAAUUCCGAGUGUAGAGGUGAAAUUCGUAGAUAUUCGGAAGAACACCAGUGGCGAAGGCGGCUCACUGGACUGGUAUUGACGCUGAGGUGCGAAA
rnacentral:rRNA from 1 species